UCCCGGCAGUCCAAGUCGCAGCCACAAUUAUUGGGUCUAAAAUAUCCGUAGCUUGCUUAAGAAGUUUCCUGUGAAAUCUUACAUCUUAAGUGUAAGGCGAGCAAGAAAUACUCUUGAGCUAGAGACUGGUAGGCGUAAGAAGUACAUUGAGGGUAGUGGUAAAAUAUUUUAAUCCUCGAUGGACUCACAGUCGCGAAGGCGUCUUACGAGAACAGUUCUGACAGUGAGGGAUGAAGGCUAGGGGCGCAAAAGG
rnacentral:rRNA from 1 species